UCAUUUAAUUAAUCAUUGGCAGCACCUAAACUAGCCCUACUAUUAUUACGAGUAUUGGUGACUGAAUAAUCUCGUCUUUCGAAUGACGAUGCGCAGUGAAUUUGCUACCUGGGCUGCAUACGCAAUCUCGUUGGGAACGAUUUGGUACUUUGUGAAAAAGAAGGCUGAGAAGGCGAAAUACGAUACCAGCGAAGCUAUAGAAGAAAACGGUCUAGAUCCAGACUCUUUGGCUUAUAACUUAGAUGCCUAUUGGGCUGGACACCUUCCGCCAGAAUGUGAAGAUUUUAUCGACAUGAUUCGAUUUCCAAAUGUAUUUCGACGCUAUGGAUCGAAGAUACCUAAAGGUUUACUACUAUACGGAGAUCCCGGAACAGGGAAGACUUAUUUUGGCAAGAUGUUAGCGAACAUUGUAAAUGCCCACUUUUUUUAUGCCGCUGCUUCUCCAGAUGGAUGAAAUCUAUCUUGGAAGUGGUCCCAAGAAAAUCCGCGCUCUAUUCGAUAAGGCUAAAAAGGCGGCUGAAAAUGGAGAGGUCGAAAAAAGUUCCUCUGGCUGGUUCAACCAGUCAGAAGGUAUAUUAGAAGACAUCGACAAUUUAAAAGUUGAGAAUUCAUUUAAAAACAAAAAGAUAAGCAUUAUUUUUUUAGAUGAGAUCGAUGCUUUUGGCAAUCGCGAAAGUGUUUACUCAGACUCUAGACAUGCUACACUCUCUCAACUCCUUACGUGCAUGGAUGGAAUUCAGCGCUACGACAAUGUCAUUGUCAUUGGUGCGACGAAUUACUUAAAUGCCGUCGAUAGUGCCUUGACUCGUAGUGGUCGUUUUGAUCGAAUUAUUAAAAUGACACUACCUGACAAGCUCAGUCGUCGCGACUUGCUCGCAUUUUAUCUAAAAGAAGUUCCUGACAUUAAAUUAGAGCAGUGGAAUGAUUUAUUGGACAUUUUGUCUGAAGCCACAGAAGGGUUCAACUGUUCAGACCUCCGAUUGGUUGUCAAUGAGGCCACUUUGCGUGCCACGCGUGAGACAGUUGGUAAACUGAAGGGACGUAUAAAUACUCAACUGAAUAAAAAGGGCUACCUUCCGGAGGAAGGAGAACUCUCAACACAGGAUAUAGACGAAUUAAUUGUUACACCCUUAAGCCAAGAAGACUUAAUCGGAGCAUUUCUAAGUGUUUACAACAAAAUUCUCUUAGAGUCCAAGUCGGUGAAGCAAUAUAAUAGAAGGCCUUUAUUGGCUCCAGCUAAACUUAAAAGAAUUCACCAGAUGCUGAAUACAAAUUAGAUUAUGUGCUUUCGAAUUUGCACGAAAAAUACAUAAGGGCUGUUUCUGUUGCACACUCACCAUCAUAUUUUGAAUAAACGCCGAAAAAGAAAUUCAACGUUUGAAAUUGUGGCUCUUUUAGAUAACUGUUGGAAGUUUAGCAUUUUUAUAAACUCUAUUGUCGAGUACCUCUGGCCGAGAUAUAUUUUUCAGAAGGGGCGCCCGUUCGCUCGUAAUAUGUUCAGCGAGAAUGUGGUUCACAGGUGAGGAGCAACGCGUUGCUGAAAAUUUUGCAUCACAGAAACCAGGUGUGUUAGGGACGAACAUUGUCAAUUGCUUUCCGCACAUUACUAGUAGUAAAAAUCCCAAUAACUCGAAUGGCCGGGCAUUUUUACGAUAUGCAAAAAUAGCACUUGGAAUAAUGCCGUCAAUUAUUAAAAAAUACGUUACCAUCUCUGAAUUACACAGCAAAUUUUCUGUGUUUAAUUUGUUCGCGGUUCCAGUGUUGAAGUAUCCGCACAAGAUCGAGCGAAUUUAUAGGUGUUUAUUUCGUUUAAUAAAACACUCACUCUCUUUUAGAUCACUGAUAAAAUGUGCAAAAAAAA